rnacentral:rRNA from 1 species
UACGAAGGGGGCUAGCGUUGCUCGGAAUUACUGGGCGUAAAGCGCACGUAGGCGGAUCGUUAAGUCGGGGGUGAAAUCCUGGAGCUCAACUCCAGAACUGCCUUUGAUACUGAAGAUCUUGAGUUCGGGAGAGGUGAGUGGAACUGCGAGUGUAGAGGUGAAAUUCGUAGAUAUUCGCAAGAACACCAGUGGCGAAGGCGGCUCACUGGCCCGAUACUGACGCUGAGGCACGAAAGCGUGGGGAGCAAACAGG